AAUACUGAGAAAUAAUAAAAGAUGAAGGAAUGGUGAGACUGAGGAGCCCUCUUUGUUUUCCUCCUCCUCCCUCACAAAAACCAAAAUACUAUGAUCACCUUUCACCUUCCAUUCUUCAAUAUCUCUUCUCUAUUCUCGAAUUAACCUUUCACCUUUAACCUUUCACCUUCCUUUCACCUUCUCUCAUUCCUUCAGUUUUCACAUUUCAGACCCAUUCUCUCACUUUCCUCACUGGAAGUGGUUUCGAUUCUCUUUUCCUCUCUCUCAGUUUAGUUUUACUACUCAAAUUUCCUCUUCACCAUUUUUCUCCCUUUGUUUUUUCGGUCAAAAAUAUUUUGUUUGUGUUUUUUCCAAACGGUUUUGUGUCGCUUUCAUAUUUGAUUGUUGGAUGAAGCGUUUAAGUUUCAGCUUGUAAGAUCAUCAAUAUCUGCUGUGUUCAAAUACUCUGUUGCAUGCUCAUUGGGAGGUUUAGUUAGGGUUUUCGUGUAACGGCAUGUGUAAUGUACAUGGUGGUUUUUCAAAAUUUAACUCAGGUUUUCAGUGUGUUACUUUGCUCUUUCACUCAUCUUAUUGCACUUAAGUUUGUGUCCCUUGUCCCUUUUUCUCCCCUCAUUUUGCCUGAGGAGCACGAAUCAUCUUCAUUGUUUCUCUCUCUAUGAACUUCACGUCUAGAAUUGAAAGAUCACGGAGAUGGGGAAGUUGAAAACUUCACUUGACUUAUUUUUUCCUUUGGUAUUUUAUUGUAAGCACAGGGACCUAGAAAUGUUAAUAUUCUACUGCAUACUGUGGGCUUUCUUAUGAGAGAAAAUAUUGAUGGUGUGGAAUAUUGUAUUUCUAUGUCAGGAUAGCCAGUUAUCUUAUCGUUUAAUUUCUUUUAUUAAUUGUUGUCUGGAUUUUUGCUAAUGUACCUACUUUGUUUUUAAUUAUUGAAAAGCUGAAUAGCUAAUAUUUAAGUGUUAUUCAAGCUUCUUCUUUCGAAGUCACUGCCAAAAGAAUGUUUUGAUCAAAUAGCUCAUUUCUCAUAAAUUGUGUUGUUGUAUUUCUCUUUACAGAAAUCUUUGAAAUUUAGGGGUAUUCUACAUUUUGGGAACCUGUGGGAAAAGUAAUUACUAGCUGAUUACAAAUGGCACCCAAUAAAAGAGUGGUAGCGGCCUAUCGUGCAAUGGGAAGUCUUGGAAUUGAUGAGUCGAAAGUGAAAUCAGCGAUAAAGAAACUCCUCAAAGUGUUUGACAAAAACUGGGAACUUAUAGAGGCAGAGAACUAUAGAGUUCUAGUAGAUGCUAUAUUUGAGGAGGACGAUAAUAUGGUACCCGAAGAGAAAAAGAAAGUCCGGUCUGACGAUGUACAUGACACUCAUCAUUCUUUGCCUUCCUUUUCAAACAACCAAGAAGAUGAGACAGAGUGUGAAGAGGCUCAGAUGCAUAAUGCCCAACCUUUAAAAAGGCUGCGAUUAAGAGGCCAGGACAGUCAGCCUUUGCAUCCUCUGACCAACAUUGCCACCAGCCCUCCUUCGAAAAGGCCUAAAUUAGAAGAUAAUGCAUUACACCAGGGUUCUUCUGGGAAGAAACCUCAAAACAAGCCAGAGUCAUCUGAUGGGAAUCCAAGGAUUGAAGCACCGUUACUUAGACCACCAGAUGACAUUGUUGAUAAGGGAAAGCAACCUGCAUCAGCCCAAGUUUUGCAAAGAGGAAGAGAACUUACAUCUGGAAGAUCGUCCCCAUCCACACCAUCUAAAGAACGAACAGUUAAAUCAGGGAAGUUUUUGAUGCCAAACAACACAAUACCUCGUCCGCUGGCACUUAUCAUACCCAAGGACGAGCCUAUUGAUGAAGUGCCUGAUUAUGGAAUGCCCAUUGCAGUGAUUCAUCCUGAACCAUCACGCGUAAGGGACUCAUCAUUCAGGAAUGGUGUAGCUGGAAAGCAUGUCAACCAUGAUACUGUGACAUCAUCAGCAUGCAGAAAUAGAGUCAGAGAUGAAGAUGUUCUUCCUACCUCAAAUGAAGAAGCCACUUGUAAUGUAGAGAUAGCCUCAUCAACUCUUGGAGAGGUAAAACUUUCUUUGAGCUGCAGCUCAGCACUUUGGGGAUCAAAUUUUCACAUGCCUAGUCGAGAUGAACUCAUAGAAAUGAUGGAGGCGAAAUGCCUGCGUUCAUAUAAAAUUGCUGACCCAAAUUUCUCUGUUAUGAAACUGUUGAUGGAUGUAUGCAAUUGCAUGUUGGAACUCAGAAACAAUUCUAAUAAUGAUCCAGAAGAAGGUUCUAUAGGGACAUCCAAUGUUCAUAUGUCGAAGGAAUCACAAGAACCUGACACACUGAGUGUGGAAAGAAACAAAGAAUUGGACACCCUUUCUCAUGUUUCAAAUGGAUCAAUCAAUGUUAAUCCUUCUGCUGCAUUGGUUUCUCCCCAUAGUUUCCUUCCUCGUGCUGACCUGAUUGGUCUGAAUGAUGCUGUCUUGGUUUCCAAGAUGGACCAAAAAACAAAUGAUUUUUCGCAAUGUAAUGCAAAUAAGGAGCUGGAAGAUUCUAUGUCUCCAAAUUCACAUAGUUUAGUGAUUGUUCCACAGCAUCAGCUGACAUCUGAUGAUAUAAGGUCUUUUUAUAAUGCUAAUGACCUCACAAAAGGAGAAGAAAAUGUUGAAAUUCCUUGGGUGAAUGAAUAUACUAACGAUUUCCCAGCAUCCUUUAACUACAUACCCCGAAACCUUGUGUUCCAAGAUGCUUAUGUUAACAUUUCUCUGUCACGUAUUGGCAGUGAGGACUGUUGUUCAACUUGUAUGGGCAAUUGUGUCUUGUCACCUUGUGCUUGUGCAAAUAAAACUGGUGGUGAAUUUGCUUAUAGUUCUCAAGGCCUACUGAGGGAAGAAUUUUUGGAAGAGUGCAUUGCCACUAAUCGCAAUCCACAAAACCAUUUCUUUUAUUGCAAAAUUUGCCCACUUGAAAGAUCUAAGAAUGAUGGUGGUUUAGAACCUUGUAAAGGACACUUAAAGAGGAAGUUUAUUAAAGAAUGCUGGAGCAAAUGUGGCUGUGGGAAACAGUGUGGAAAUCGGAUUAUCCAGCGAGGAAUAACUUGCAAAUUGCAGGUGUUUUUCACUUCAGAAGGUAAAGGAUGGGGUCUUCGUACCUUAGAGGACCUGCCUAAAGGUGCAUUUGUAUGUGAGUUUGUUGGAGAAAUUUUAUCUAUUAAAGAGUUGCAUGAGAGGAACAUGAAAUGUACUGGAAAAGGGAACCAUACAUACCCAGUUCUACUGGAUGCAAAUUGGGAUUCAGGAUCUAUGAAGAACAAAGAAGCUCUAUGCUUGGAUUCAGCUUCGUUUGGCAACAUUGCUAGGUUUAUCAAUCACAGAUGUUUUGAUGCAAACUUGGUUGAGAUCCCAGUUGAAGUUGAGGAUCCUGAUCAUUAUUACUACCAUUUUGCUUUUUUUACUUCCAGAAAAGUAGCAGCACUUGAGGAGUUAACAUGGGAUUAUGGCAUUGACUUUGAUGAUCAUGAUCAUCCUAUCAAGCUGUUCCAGUGCAGUUGUGGCAGUAAAUUAUGCAGGCAUAUAAAGAGGUCAAACAAACUCAUGUAUGAGGGGUCAUGUAUUUGUUGUGGUGAAUAAGUUAAACAUGAUAAAUAUGGGCAUAAUGAUGAGCUAAUUGGAUGCAUGUUGGUGGUGGAAAACUAUCAGCGUGGGGGGCUUUAUGUGGUGACAUAUAUUCUUUAUUCAAAUAUUUGAGGAUCCAGCAGAUCUGCGUCAAUUUCCGGAUGAUGAUAAGUCCUUUCUCCGGCAAACCGAUGUCUAACCGUGCUUUGCCGAGUUGUAUUACAAGUGGUUGCUUUUGUUUGUUGGUUAGUGAAUGUUAGGUUUUUCGUAUAGAUGGUUGAAAAUUAUUAUCGGCAUUCGUGUCGCACGAAAGAGUUAUCUGUCAUUUUGGGAUUUAUUUUGGUAAACUUAUUACGAGGGGUUCAAAUUUAGAAAAACCAAAAUGAAGAUUAGGCUGUAGUGAAGGUGAAUAUGUAGUUUAUAGCUGCAGCGCAUGUGGGACUUUGAUAUCUCUUAAUAAUAUUAACGGACUUUGGUUGGAA